rnacentral:rRNA from 1 species
UACGUAGGGUGCGAGCGUUAAUCGGAAUUACUGGGCGUAAAGCGUGCGCAGGCGGUUUUGUAAGUCAGAUGUGAAAUCCCCGGGCUUAACCUGGGAAUGGCAUUUGGGACUGCAAGGCUCGAGUGCGGCAGAGGAGACUGGAAUUCCUGGUGUAGCAGUGAAAUGCGUAGAUAUCAGGAGGAACACCGAUGGCGAAGGCAGGUCUCUGGGCUGACACUGACGCUGAGGCACGAAAGCGUGGGGAGCAAACAGG